GCUCCUGUAGUUCAACGGAUAGAAUAGAAGUUUCCUAAACUUUAGAUAGGGGUUCGAUUCCCCUCGGGAGUACCA
rnacentral:tRNA from 2 species